AUUGGACGCUGGCGGCAGGCUUAACACAUGCAAGUCGAGCGGGGUGAUGGUGCUUGCACUAUCACUUAGCGGCGGACGGGUGAGUAAUGCUUAGGAAUCUGCCUAUUAGUGGGGGACAACAUCUCGAAAGGGAUGCUAAUACCGCAUACGUCCUACGGGAGAAAGCAGGGGAUCACUUGUGACCUUGCGCUAAUAGAUGAGCCUAAGUCGGAUUAGCUAGUUGGUGGGGUAAAGGCCUACCAAGGCGACGAUCUGUAGCGGGUCUGAGAGGAUGAUCCGCCACACUGGGACUGAGCCACGGCCCAGACUCCUACGGGAGGCAGCAGUGGGGAAUAUUGGACAAUGGGGGGAACCCUGAUCCAGCCAUGCCGCGUGUGUGAAGAAGGCCUUAUGGUUGUAAAGCACUUUAAGCGAGGAGGAGGCUCUUUUGGUUAAUACCCAAGAUGAGUGGACGUUACUCGCAGAAUAAGUACCGGCUAACUCUGUGCCAGCCGCCGCCGUAA
rnacentral:rRNA from 1 species